UCAGGCCUGCCCAGUGAAUAUAUAUUUAACGGCCGCGGUACUCUGACCGUGCAAAGGUAGCAUAAUCAUUUGCCUUAUAAUUGAAGGCUAGUAUGAAUGGUUUAACGAGAGCAAUACUGUCUCCUUUCUAUUUUCAAGAACUUAACCUUUAGGUGAAGAGGCCCAAAUUUAAUUGAAGGACAAGAAGACCCUGUCGAGCUUAAAAGACACUAUAGAAGUUCAUAUAUUUCUAAAUAAAUUCUCUAUUAAGCUUUUUAGUUGGGGCGACUAAGGAACAAAAAAAGCUUCUUAUAGUAAAUAAACAACCAAGUUUUGAUCCGAUAGUAAUCGAUUAAAGAAAUUAGUUACCGCAGGGAUAACAGCAUAAUCUCUCUUGAGAGACCUAAUCGAAAGAGGGGGUUGUGACCUCGAUGUUGGACUAGAAUAUCCUAAAGAUGCAGAAGUCUUUAAGGGUC
rnacentral:rRNA from 1 species